rnacentral:rRNA from 1 species
UACGUAGGGGGCAAGCGUUGUCCGGAUUUAUUGGGCGUAAAGAGCGUGUAGGCGGCCUGAAAGGUCAGCUGUGAAAACUCGAGGCUCAACCUCGAGACGUCGGUUGAAACCAUCUGGCUAGAGUCCGGAAGAGGAGUGUGGAAUUCCCGGUGUAGCGGUGAAAUGCGCAGAUAUCGGAAGGAACACCAGUGGCGAAAGCGGCUUCCUGGUCCAGCACCGACGUUCAGGCACGAAAGCGUGGGGAGCAAACAGG